rnacentral:lncRNA from 10 species
CCUCGCUCAGGCUGCCGAUCGGCUCGUUCUCUCUGCGUUGGGACCGCGGAGGGCAUUCGCUGUGUGACUCAGGGCAAGUGUGCGCACCUCUCUGAGCCUCCGCGGCCUUCUCUAGCAAAAUGGUGGAGCCGGUACCCGGCUGUAAGGCAAGCUGGGAUGCGCGGAGUAGCGGGUGGAAAGCUGGACUGGAGUUCUCACUCGGCCGCUGGGUGACUUCGGUGCACUAGGGAUAGUAACAGUACCACCUCGUAGGGUUGUAGAAAGACCAAGUGAGUUAAUAUUUGUAAAGUGUUUAGAACAGCGUCUACUGCAUGGAAAGUAGUAUUUAUUUGUUAGAGAGACUCCAGGAGGUCUUGCCCAGGGAUUGACUUCUCCCUUCCCUGUCUCCACCCCCCACAUUCCCGUUUGUGAGCCAAGCCUUGCUUUUGCACCGGCCGGGCUCUCUUGCCUGGAAAUGCAUACCCAUCUCAAACCUGGGCUUUAAAAUCACCUCCUCUGGGACGCCUUCCUCUACUUCUCACAGUUCAGGCCUGUUCUGCCCCACACAGCAGAAAAUGCCCACGAUGCAAUACCAGAGUCUGCAUGGGACCAUUUCAACAACCCUUAGAAGCUGACUCAGCUGUCUCCUGGCCCUGACUUUUCUAAGAUGAGAGGAGCUGGUAGGAACAAUUUGGGAACCCUCAAAGGCUGAGAGUAUCCCACCCACUUCACAGAUGAAGCAAACUGAGGCCCAGAGAAGGGAAAUUACUUGCCCAAGAUCACCCAGCAAGUAAGAAACAGAGCUGGAGAUGAGCUCAGGCCAGCACGGAACCACGCAAACUCCUUCUGUAGGCUUUGUAAAGGAUUGAUGAGAAAAGCAGAUGGUUAAGAGCUCUACAACUUCUGUGAGGUAAAGAAUAUCUGCAGGGCUGGACGUGGCGGCUCUUGCCUGUAAUCUUAGCACUUUGGGAGGCCAAAGUGGGUGGAUUGCUUGAGUCUAUGAGUUCAAGACCAGCCUGGGCAACAUGGUAAAACUCUGUCUCUCUAAAAAAAAAAAAAAAAAAAAAUUAGCUGAGUGUGGUGUUGUGUGCUUGUAGUCCCAGCUACUUUGGAGGCUGAAGCGGAAGGAUCCCUUGGCCCAGGAGGCAGAGGUUGCAGUGAGCUGAGAUUGUGCCACUGCACUUCAGCUUGGGUGACAGAGCCAGACCUUAUUUAAAAAAAAAAAAAGGAUAUCUGUGAUUACAAGAUUACCAUGCAAUUUUGAAAGCCUGCUGUUGCCCAGCUGGACAGCUAGAGUUAUUCUCAGUGGUGGGAUGGCUGAACUGGGGGCCCACUGUGGAGAGCUGGUUUCCCACUGGAGUUCUCUGAAAAGGUGCCUGAUUUCACAGCUCUGAUUCUACAGAAGGAGGCCGGACCCUUCACGUAAUUGCUACCCUUUAUUUAUGGAGCUAUUCCUCUGUCGGGAUGCCCUUUAUAUGUGUACAGUCUGUGCUGCAGUCGAUUCUUAUAGUGAUUCUAUGCAGAAGUUACUUUAGAGGAGGCUGCUGGGGCGCAGGGUGGGUAGGUACCUUGUCAGCAUGGUGGGGCUGGGUCUCCAGCUGGUUGGGACCCCACCCUCCUAUCAUGGCCCAGGAGUGAGGCAUUCAGGGCUGGACCACCAGCAUUUGUGAAGCUUUUGCCCCAUUAUCCCAUCAGAACAUCUUCUUGGCCCUGGCAGGCAGCCAGGGCAGGGCCAUUCUCCACCUUACUGACAAAGAAGCCCAGGGAGGGGAAGAGGGUGCUCCCCCAACACCUCCAUUGCCUCUGCCUGCUUAGUCCAGAAUGCAGGAUAGAGAAAUAAUGGGAAAAGCUCCCAAGUGUUGCUGGAUCUCUGCCUGCCAGGGAAGCUGUGACCCCAGUAAGGGCAGGGUGUUCCUUCCAGGGAACUCGAGGUGGGGCAGGAUGGGUAGGGAGUGAGAUCAGAGGGAAGGCCAUGUUGGGAAGAUGGGAAGGCAAGUCUCUGGGGGUUUGUGGGAUAGAGGAAGGGAACAUCAUAGAACAGGCCAGGAAUAGGAGCUUGACCUGGAGAUUACUUUGCAGCAGGUUUAAACAGGGGCCAUGUGAGAGUGUGGAGCCCUGGGGUCAGAGGUUACUGGAUGCAAAUUAUGACUCUGCCACUUAUGGGAAUGGUGAGUUAGGACAAAUGAUUUCCCUGGGCCUCAGGGUCUUCAUGUAUAAAAGGGCUGAAGCUCAGUGGGUAACUGGAGCACUGCCUGGGUUAGAUCCUGGCUCCACCCCUUUCCAGUGUGACCUAGGGUGAAUGAGUUCACCUCUCUGGGCAUCAGUGUCCUUGUCUCUAAGAUGGACUUGAUAAUAAUGAAAGCUACCCCUCACAGGGCUGUGGUGAGGAUGAAGGGGUCUGGCAGCACAUGUAGAAUUCUUAGAGCAGGCUUUUUUCCUGCAGAGUCUUUGUUGCUAUCAUCAUCAUCAUCAUCAUCCUCAUCCUCAUCAUCAUCUACCUCCAGGGAUUCUUGGGGGGCUUAAACAAGGCAGGUUGUACAAAUUAUCUGGCACAGACGUCAUUAAAUAAUAACAGGGCAGAGUGACGGGUGCUGUGAUACAGGGAAGAGCUGGGAGAGACACAGGAAAGAGAAAAGACUUCUGUCUGGCUGGGUGGAAGAAGGGUGUGGAAGGUAUGGAAGCCAAGGGAAAACUUCCCCUUUGCCCUCUGAAGGUUCACUGAAAAGUCAACUGACAAAAGGCAGAUGAAUAGCAGAAAUGGCAUGCAAAUUUAUUAAUGCGCACACAGGGAGAACCACAGAGUGAUUGAUUACUCCCCACUCUGCAAUGGGGUGCAGAAGCUUAUAUGCCAUCUUGAGGUUACAGAAAGAAUGGGGGCUUGGGGCCUGAGCGCAGUGGCUCAUGCCUGUAUUCCCACCACUUUGGGAGGCCAAGGUGGGUGGAUCACCUGAGGUCAGGAGUUUGAGACCACCCUGACCAACAUGAAACCCCGUCUCUACUAAAAAUACAAAAAAUUAGCUGGGUGUUGUGGUGCGCACCUGUAAUUCCAGCUACUCGGGAGGCUGAGGCAGGAGAAUCACUUGAACCAGGGAUGCUGAGGUUGCACGAGCUGAGAUCGCACCGCUGCCCUCCAGCCUGGGCAACAAGAGCAUUCUCCACGUUGGUCAGGCUGGCCUCGAACUCCCACCCUCAGGUGAUCCACCUGCCUUGGCCUCCUAAAGUUCUGGGAUUACAGGCAUGAGCCACUGCACCCAACCUGAAUAAUCUAUUAGAGUCUUUAUCUCUAAGAAGAGAAAUACAUCUGAACUAAAGGGUAAAAAAUGGCAUGUUUUAAUUGGUAAGUCUAAAUGCAAAACGAUGACAAUAAAAUUUUAAAGGACUGCUUCAGGAGAGAGGGGGGACAGGUCAUGCCUAAGGAAUCUACAGUGUUU